UGAGUAACCUGCCCUUCACUCUGGGAUAACUCCGGGGAAACCGGGGCUAAUACUGGAUAUGACUCGAACAGGCAUCUGUUUCGGGUGGAAAGAUUUAUUGGUGGAGGAUGGACUCGCGGCCUAUCAGCUUGUUGGUGGGGUAAUGCCUACCAAGGCGACGACGGGUAGCCGGCCUGAGAGGGCGACCGGCCACACUGGGACUGAGACACGGCCCAGACUCCUACGGGAGCA
rnacentral:rRNA from 1 species